rnacentral:rRNA from 1 species
CGGGUGAGUAACGCGUGGUCAACCUUCCCUACAGCGGGGGAUAACUAGCCGAAAGGUUAGCUAAUACCGCAUGACAUCUUUGAGAGGCAUCUUUUAAAGAUAAAAGGAGCAAUCCGCUGAAGGACGGGACCGCGUCCCAUUAGCUAGUUGGUGGGGUAAUGGCCUACCAAGGCAACGAUGGGUAGCUGGUUUGAGAGAGCGACCAGCCACACUGGGACUGAGACACGGCCCAG